UACGUAGGGGGCAAGCGUUGUCCGGAAUCAUUGGGCGUAAAGCGCGUGUAGGCGGUCCGGUAAGUCCGCUGUGAAAGUCGGAGGCUCAACCCUCGGAUGCCGGUGGAUACUGUCGGGCUUGAGUACGGAAGAGGCGAGUGGAAUUCCUGGUGUAGCGGUGAAAUGCGCAGAUAUCAGGAGGAACACCAAUGGCGAAGGCAGCUCGCUGGGACGUUACUGACGCUGAGACGCGAAAGCGUGGGGAGCAAACAGG
rnacentral:rRNA from 1 species